UAUGCGUCCAGGGCGAGGUUGAUCUAGGGUUCGUCGGCUGAGUGGGCGAUCUCCUUUAUCCUUGAGGUUUAGCGCUUCUUGAAAUUUUUUACUUGCUUAAUUAACAUUUGCACGACGCACCCCGGGCUACUCUGAUUAUCUCCAUGACGGUGAUAGCCCCAUUGCUCGUGCUAGAGUGCUGCCGUUUAGUGUUGCAGCUUGUUUUCUGCAGAUAAAGCAUAUGAAAAUGAAGCUAGUCAUAGAGGCCGAGAUCUAAUCUUCGGCGGUGUUCACGUGGGGGCCUAUCUUUUCAAUGUUUGUGCCUCUAAAAACUUCCGCUAUAUUUAUCUUUUUAUCCCAAUUUGAAUCGACUUUCUGGUUUGUAGCUCUGUUUCUUAUUUCAAAGUUUCGUUAUUUGGGUGAUAGAUAAGAGUUGUUGGCUAUGAUUACACAUUAUCCGCGCUUCCGAGGUUAAACGAUGAAGCAAACAUAAAAACUAAUGGUUGAAUUUCUUAAUAUGAGCCACAUUUCUUCUAUCAUUAUUUUUUUUUCGCUAAUUUAGUUACUUUUUUCAAAUCUGGCCGUGAUGAUCGAACUUCAGCUUAUAUGCCAGUUCUGCUUCAGAAUUUGAUGAUUGAUAAAGCUGUUACAUAUUAUCUGAGCCUUAAAUUUUACUAUCAAUAUUUUUACUAUCGUCCACUUAUAGGUUAUAGUUUAUGUAUUAAUCCAUUUGUGAAUAUAAUUUUUCCAAUGAUGAUAUAAUCCGUUUGUCGGAGACAUUGUGGAUCCAAGACCCUGUUUCAGGGAGAACCUACUUGGUGAAACCUUGUUCAUAUGAUAUUAAUGGAUUUAACUGAGGGUUCACCACAAUUUUAGAUAAUAUAGUUUAAUGCACAUUUUUUUACCCAUUUCGUGUUGAAAUCAUUUGAUAUUAGAGUUUUUUUAUUUGAUUUUAGCCUUUGAUGAUACAAUCCAACUUUCUGAGAUGUUGUGAAGCCAAGACCCUGUUUCAGGGAGAACCUACUUGGUGGAAUAACAUUUGUACGAGUUAUAUGGAUUUCGCUGAGGCUUAUUUUUAGUCAUAUUUAAUUUUAAUCUUGAUUCAAAUUUUUGUUUAUUUUACCAUUUUUAUUACUUGAAUACUCACUUUGUUUAGCAUGUUUCCUUGAUUUGAGUUUAACUAUACACAUCCCUUUUAUAAUGUGGGAAUGUAGUCUGAAAAACUCGGAAAUUGUGUGUUGUCAUCAGCUUCUUCUCGCCAAAUUAGGAGGUCGGAGUUAAAUAACAGCACUAAAUUCACCAAACCAUUGUAUUCGAUUUUUCAUUUGUUUGCAGGCUUAAUGUGUUCUCGUUAUUGUCUUUGUUUUGUUUGUUUGUCUUUGUGUUCUUCUGCAGAUUCAGUUCAAUGCGUGGCAGUUAUGGGAUGUUGUUAGUCGCAAAAAAGAAAUCGCCUGUUGUAUCGUAUUCGAAUUUGUAUUUGUAGUUCAUGUUUCUUUGUAGUCUUUCUCGACAGUAAUUUCAACUCCAAAUUGCUAAUUGGCCCAUGUUUCUUUAUCCCAGAUGUCACAGUGAUAUUGAUAUUGUAUUCUUGUUAAUACUAAGAUUAAAUUUGUUCUCUA